CUGAUUGGAAGGUUAAGCAUGAGUAGAGGAGCAUGAAAUUUUACUGUUUAAACCCUAUAUUAUUGAAACAUCUUUAUUGCAGUUGAUACCCUGAAAUGAAGAUGUCCUAUCCUAAAGAGAUCUCUGAUCUCCAUGUCACUCAUAAUAUUACAUUUUAAAUGAUUGCCAUUUAAAAAAAACAUUUUUAGUUGUAGAUGGACACAAUACCUUUACUUUAUUUAUUUUUAUGUGGUGCUGAGGAUUGAACCCAGAGCCUCAUGCACGCAAGGCAAGUGCUCUACCAUUGAGCUACAACCCCAGCCCAAAUGUUUGCCAUUUUUAAGCAUGAGAAAAUUGUUAGAGGAAAAAGAGAGCAUUCCUAAAGGCAAGAACCUUUCUAUGUUUGUAUUUGAUGAGCAAUCAUAAAAAUGGGACUCGGGAAAGGUAGAAAUGAAAAUCACCCAUGUUUAUAAAUUUCCUAGUGUUACAGAUUUUUUUAGUUGUGGAUGGACACAAUGCCUUUUUAAAAAUUUAUUUAAUAUAUUUUUAGUUAUACAUGAACACAAUACCUUUAUUUUAUGUGGUGCUGAGGAUCAAACCCAGUGCUUCACAGGUGCUAGGCAAGUGCUCUACCACUGAGUCACAACCCCAGUCCCUAUGAUUUGGGUCUUAAAAAACCCUCCAAAACUCCUGCAUUGAAGGUUUGGUCCUCAAUUGAUGGGACUAUUGGAAGGUGGUGGAAAAUUUAGAGGUGGGGCCUAGUUGGAGGAAGUAGGUCAUUGGGGAUGAGACUUGAAAAAUAUUUUGGGACCCUAGACCUUCCCCUCUCUCACUUCCCUGCUGCCAUGAGGUGAGCAGGUUUGCUCCACCAUGCACUCACUGUCAUAAUAUUCAACCUCACCACAGG
rnacentral:lncRNA from 1 species